rnacentral:lncRNA from 1 species
GAAAAUUUAUCCAGAUUAAUUAAGUUAAAUGUUAGUUAAGCACAAAUAAACAAUACAAGCUAUAAAAAAAAUGAUGCAAGAAUCAAAAUUGGGCCCUCAAUUGGCCUAUUAAUGAAGCUGCCCAGUUUUGGGCUUGAAUUAUGGACUUCAGUCCAUUUUUUGGAAGUGUAUAUCAGUUGUAUACUUACGGUAUAUCUGCCCUAUUUCUGCUGCCUUUUUGCAUACGCAUGCUGCCUUUUUUCAUACGCAUUGUCUAUCUGUGUAUAAACCUUGUGUCCUCCCCUUUUUCCACUUUUAAUAUAAGCCAUUAUCAGCUGCUUUCCAGUGUACACCAACUGUAUGUAAGUGUAUAUCCCAUGUAUAUCAGUCCAGUUUUGGACUUUAAGGCUCUUCUCGGGCAGCCAACUGAGACGAUGAAUCGAUGACACUUCACCACCGAUUUUUCUUUGAGAAUUUUAGUUGCGUAGGAUUAUAAGCACGCACCUCCCGAGUCCUCAAAUUUUCCCCCAAAAUCCUCUUUCUUACCUUUAUCUCUCAAUGACUAUAAAAAAAGGAAAGAAUUGGGGCUUCAGCUUUUGACAAUAUGGACUUCAAAUCCAAAUUUUGAAACUACUUUUUGAGAAAUUGAAGUCCAUAGUGAGACAAACCAAAGAGUUGUUGAGAAUUAAGUACUUGCCGAAAAUGGCAAACCAAAGACUGAGUAUGCUGAAAGCAUCUGAUUUUUGGCCAUUUACGGGUGUACAGAGAGGGUAAAAUGGUAAUAGAAAGGAGGCUGAUGUUUUGCCGGUUAGCGGUGUUUGUCGAUAUAGCCGUUGCUGGAGCUGUUGUUGACGUGUUUGAAGCCGUUACAGUUGCUGUUGAAAUUGUGGUACUUGGUGAUGUGGUUCUGUUGCUGUCGUUAUUUUGCUGAGUUACGGUGUUCGUUGGGUCAUUGUUUAACGUUGUGGUUGAUAACGUUGUUGUCUAUCAUUUACUGUUAUACGGGUAAAGUGGGAAGGGGAAUAUAUCAGUGUUGGGUUG